rnacentral:rRNA from 1 species
AACGUAGGGGGCGAGCGUUAUCCGGAUUUACUGGGCGUAAAGCAUGUGUAGACGGGUUGGCAAGUGGGGUAUGAAAGCGUCCGGCUUAACCGGGCAAGGGUAUGCCAGACUGCCAGUCUUGAGAAUGGGAGAGGGAUGUGGAAUUCCGGGUGUAGUGGUGAAAUGCGUAGAGAUCCGGAGGAACCCCAGAGGCGAAGGCGGCGUCCUGGCCCAUUUCUGACGUUCAGACAUGACAGCAUGGGGAGCGAACGGG